rnacentral:lncRNA from 1 species
GACCACAAAAAAGCUUACCAAAGAUAUUCGUUCAUUAAGAACGAAGGCAAAUCAAGAAGAUUCUUGUUGCGGACGAAAGGUAAUUAUCUCUUGAACCUGGAUUGGAUGAGGGAUAGAUUGAUGGAAAUGGUAGACAUGCGCAGUGGAAUAAAGAUCAAAAUUUUACUCUAAUUGCAACUAAACAAGUUUAGUGAUUAACAUGCAUAAAAAACCCUAAAAUAACAAAGAUAGGGUUAAAAGAACAACCUCAUCUUUGAUGCUUUUCUUUUCUUGUAAUCUCCUCACGUGCUUUUCACGAUCUUCUCACGAAAUCAAAGUUGGGACUACCACUAGCGUUGACCCGCUAUUCUUCGGACUUAGAAUCGAGUUGUGAGACUAAAAAAUGGUGGAGAAAAUAGAGAGAUGAGAUUCUUCGGAGGAACCUAACUUUUAGUUUUUUUUUUUUUUUUCUUAUGUUGUGAGACUCAAAUGAAAAGUGUU